rnacentral:rRNA from 1 species
GAUGAACGCUGGCGGCGUGCCUAAUACAUGCAAGUCGAGCGAACGGACGAGAAGCUUGCUUCUCUGAUGUUAGCGGCGGGCGGGUGAGUAACACGUGGAUAACCUACCUAUAAGACUGGGAUAACUUCGGGAAACCGGAGCUAAUACCGGAUAAUAUUUUGAACCGCAUGGUUCAAAAGUGAAAGACGGUCUUGCUGUCACUUAUAGAUGGAUCCGCGCUGCAUUAGCUAGUUGGUAAGGUAACGGCUUACCAAGGCAACGAUGCAUAGCCGACCUGAGAGGGUGAUCGGCCACACUGGAACUGAGACACGGUCCAGACUCCUACGGGAGGCAGCAGUAGGGAAUCUUCCGCAAUGGGCGAAAGCCUGACGGAGCAACGCCGCGUGAGUGAUGAAGGUCUUCGGAUCGUAAAACUCUGUUAUUAGGGAAGAACAUAUGUGUAAGUAACUGUGCACAUCUUGACGGUACCUAAUCAGAAGGCCACGGCUAACUACGUG